GAUGAACGCUGGCGGUAUGCCUAACACAUGCAAGUCGUACGAGAGUUUUUAACUCUAGUGGCGGACGGGUGAGUAACACGUGAGAAUUUGCCUUUAGGAGGGGGACAACAAUCGGAAACGAAUGCUAAUACCCCAUAUGCUUUCGAGUGAAAUGGAUUUUAUCCGCCUAGAGAGAAGCUCGCGGCUGAUUAGCUUGUUGGUAAGGUAAGAGCUUACCAAGGCGACGAUCAGUAUCUGGUUUGAGAGGACGAUCAGACACACUGGAACUGAGACACGGUCCAGACUCCUACGGGAGGCAGCAGUGGGGAAUUUUCCGCAAUGGGCGAAAGCCUGACGGAGCAAUACCGCGUGAGGGAAGAAUGCCUAUGGGUUGUAAACCUCUUUUUUCUAGGGAGGAAUCAAAUGACGUGUACCUGAGGAAUAAGCAUCGGCUAACUCCGUG
rnacentral:rRNA from 1 species